rnacentral:rRNA from 1 species
GAUGAACGCUGGCGGCGUGCCUAAUACAUGCAAGUCGAGCGAACAGACGAGGAGCUUGCUCCUCUGACGUUAGCGGCGGACGGGUGAGUAACACGUGGAUAACCUACCUAUAAGACUGGGAUAACUUCGGGAAACCGGAGCUAAUACCGGAUAAUAUAUUGAACCGCAUGGUUCAAUAGUGAAAGACGGUUUUGCUGUCACUUAUAGAUGGAUCCGCGCCGCAUUAGCUAGUUGGUAAGGUAACGGCUUCCCAAGGCCACGAUGCGUAGCCGACCCGAGAGGGGGUACGGCCACACUGGAGCUGAGACACGGUCCAGGCUCCUACGUGAGGCAGCAGUAGGGAAUCUUCCGCAAUGGGCGAAAGCCUGACGGAGCAGCGCCGCGUGAGUGAUGAAGGUCUUCGGAUCGUAAAACUCUGUUAUGAGGGAAGAACAAAUGUGUAAGUAACUAUGCACGUCUUGACGGUACCUAAUCAGAAAGCCACGGCUAACUACGUG